ACGUAGGAUAAGACUAAAGGUUGGUUGAAGUGGAAUGUAGUAUUGAUGGGACUUUGGGGCACUUCUAACUUAGGCCGGGUGUCUAUAAAAGAAGGAAAUGCUUGUCACUUCUGAAUGCAGUAGUCGAUCUCUCCGAUUCUCUCCUUCAACCUUUUCAAUCCUCCAACGUUAGCUACAUGGCUGCCUCCAGCAUGAGCUAGUAUAUAUAUUAAUUAUUUACGUCUUUCCACGCCAAUCCAAUAGAAAGUUAUUUACAUUAUGAUGAUUAGUUCCUCCUAUUAAAAUCAAAAUUGGACCAUGGGGAGGCCUCGGAGCCGGCGGCUUUGAUGUUGGUCAAUAUGUCUCCCAUAUUACAAAGGUCAAACUCUACACAGGAGACGUCGUCGACAGUUUGGAGAUUUCCUAUGUCGAUGACCGGAAUCAAUUCGAAACAUACCGAACAGGCGGCGGCGGUGGUGGAUUGCACGAGUUCGAACUAGAGAGCGGUGAAUAUAUCAACUGGGUGGUCGCUUCCUACAAAGAUUAUUAUGACGAAAUUUGUCUUACUGAGCUCGGAUUUAAGACCAACUUGGGGAAGGAGCAUGGGCCUUUUGGGGAUGGAGGCGGCGAGACGGUCACUAUUCCAGUCGUCGCAGGUCGACUUGUUGGAUUUUUUGGCCAGUACGACCGCUAUAUUAAUUCCAUCGGACUCUAUUUGGCUCCUUAUUAAUUAUAUUGGCCAUCUAUCUAUCAGUAGUAUUUCGAAAUCUGAUCAUUCAUUCUGUCGUCUUGGCUUUGCAAUUCGUCUUCGUGGGAGUGGCCGGGUUAAAUGAAUUUAGUAGUUCUGUUUUGAAUAAAUUUGGAUGAUCAGUGCAACUUUGAUGUAUUGUGGGAGUGCUUUGAAUAAAUUUGCUAGUUGUGUUUUAAAUAAAUUUGGAAGAUGAAUCAACUUUGAUAUGUA